AUUGUGCUACAGAGAGUUAAAAAAAAAAAUCCAACCUCUCUAAACAGAGAAACCCUAAAAAAAAGUCCCACACCCGUACUGUUUUCUCUUUCUCUUCUUCUUCUCCGCCACUUAGAAACGAAAUUGACGAGGAGGAUGACCGGAAGUUCUGAACGGAUCCAAGCUCAGUUGGGUUGGGUCGAGGAAGAAACCCGACGACUCUCCACCAUCUGCGAGAGGCGAACCCACGGCGGAGCUUCUCUUCCUCGGUAGGGAGACAGAGAAGACAGAGGAAGAGGACGACGGCGGUGAAGAUACAGGAGCGACGGUGGUCUGUUCGUCUAGUGUGGGACUCUGUUUUUAUAACAUUUGAUGAUUCACGUCUGCUUUUGUUUGCAACCUGAUAAGGAAGAUGAACCUGAGCUAGAGACUAGUGGAAAGGAUGACAAGGGGG